rnacentral:rRNA from 1 species
UUGACUAAUAGACACAUGAAGAUCUCACCCUUGUGUCCUACAUGCUCCCAGGGUGUAGAAGAUACAAAGCACUUGCUUUUCCUAUGUAGAAAAGCGAAGGAGGUUUGAAAAAGGCUAGGGUUGGAUAUGAUUAUUGAGAGAGCUUGUGAGAUUGAUCGUGCUGGGGAGGCAAUACUGGAAUACUUAUUACUCCUUCCAGAUCAAGAUCUGCGCAUUAUGGGGUACGAAAAUGUUCGAGAAAUGGUAGCUAUCUCUGCUUGGUAUCUAUGGUGGGAAAGA